GGUUAGGGUUAGGGUUGGAGUUAGGGUUAGUGUUGGAGCUAGGGUUAGGGUUGGGCUUGGAGCUAGGAUUUUUCUGAGUGCACUGAACCAACUCCCGAGUCUCUAGGACAUUCCUAAAAAAAUUUGAUUUUUCCCAUAGGAAUGCAUGGGUUAGGGUUAGGGUUAGGGUUGGAGCUAGGGUUAGGGUUAGGGUUAGGGUUGGAGUUAGGGUUAGUGUUGGAGCUAGGGUUAGGGUUGGGCUUGGAGCUAGGAUUUUCUGAGUGCAUCGAACCAACUCCCGAGUCUCUAGGACAUUCCUAAAAAAAUUUGAUUUUUUCCCAUAGGAAUGCAUGGGUUAGGGUUAGGGUUAGGGUUGGAGCUAGGGUUAGGGUUAGGGUUAGGGUUGGAGUUAGGGUUAGUGUUGGAGCUAGGGUUAGGGUUGGGCUUGGAGCUAGGAUUUUUCUGAGUGCACUGAACCA